GCCUUAAUAAUGAAUAAUCAUAUAAUGGUUUCGGCCCAUUUUAAAAUAGUAGUAAAACUAUUUUAAGGU
rnacentral:tRNA from 1 species